rnacentral:lncRNA from 1 species
CAAGGGAAUCCGACCCGCAGCGAUCAGACCCCGCCCCUUCAGGGAGAACACGGCCCGUUGGCCCCGCUCACGGCGAGAGCACCGCCCACAGGCUGAAGAUCCUGCCCCUUCAGGACGGCCGAGAACGCGCCUGCCUUGCACCACCCCCACCCCGCCCCGCGUCCUUCAGGAGAGCCGGAAACGCUCCUACCCCUACUUCGCUUCUGCACGGCCGCGAGAACGCACCUGUCCAGCCCCCUGUUCGCUCCGCCCACUCAGCGCGCGCGGGAGCGCGCGCGGGAGCAGCUCCAACUUUUUCAAUUUGCCGCCAUCUUUACGGCGGCCGACUUCCCAGCCUGCCUCGCGUCCAGGGAGGCGGAGCUCAGGUCACACCUUGGCUGUAAAGUGUCCUAACAGCCACCUACUUAUGAUUACUGCUUUCUUACCAAUAACCUCCCCAGCCUGUUGUGUGGCUCCUACAUCUUGAACAAAAGCGACCAAGGCAUACAUCUGUAGGAGACCAGAAUAUGCCACCCCAAAAUAUGCCUCCUUGGCCUAAGGAUUAUUCUGAGCUAGUAAUUUUGAGAAACAGAAGCUAUGAAAACAGCAUAAGCUACCCCUUUGAAAGAGAAAUUCACCCCGGCCACCACCCCGUCUGGGAAGUGAGGAGCGUCUCUGCCCAGCCGCCCCGUCUGAGAAGUGAGGAGCCCCUCCGCCCGGCAGCCGCCCCGUCUGGGAAGUGAGGAGCCCCUCUGCCCGGCCGCCAGGCCGUCUGGGAGGUGUGCCCAACAGCUCAUUGAGAACGGGCCAUGAUGACGAUGGCGGUUUUGUCGAGUAGAAAGUGGGGAAAUGUGGGGAAAGGAAGGAGAGAUCAGAUUGUUGCUGUGUCUGUGUGGAGAGAAGUAGACACAGGAGACUCCAUUUUGUUAUGUACUAAGAAAAAUUCUUCUGCCUUGGGAUGCUGUUAAUCUAUAACCUUACCCUCAGCCCCAUGCUCUCUGAAACAUGUGCUGUGUCCACUCAGGGUUAAAUGGAUUAAGGGCGGUGCAAGAUGUGCUUUGUUAAACAGAUGCUUGAAGGCAGCAUGCUCGUUAAGAGUCAUCACCACUCCCUAAUCUCAAGUACCCAGGGACACAAACACCGGAAGGCCGCAGGGUCCUCUGCCUAGGAAAACCAGAGACCCUUGUUCACAUGUUUAUCUGCUGACCUUCCCUCCACUAUUGUCCUAUGACCCUGCCAAAUCCCCCUCUCUGAGAAACACCCAAGAAUGAUCAAUAAAUACUAAAAAAAAAAAAAGAGAAACUCACAGUCUUAAAAGAAAUCGCUCUUUGUAAGGGUGUCUCCCUCUCUGUACCAGGAAGAGAAAGUUGACUCUAAAUCACCAGAGACCCUUAUCAAUGGAGAAGGCAGCAACUUGUUUUGUGUGCUUCUCCGGGUCUUUUUCCCAAAACUGGCCUUCCUCACUCCCUUCUUUGUUUUUAGCUGAAGAUGGUACUUAAACCUGAAUUCUAAGCCACUCCUUUGAGAAUUACUCAUUUUCUUGGGCAUCUCACAUGUAUAUGCAAAGUAUACAUGUUAAUAUAGCUCCAUUUGUUUUUCUCCUGUUAAUCUUUUGAGCUGGGCAUGGUGGCUCCCGCCUAUAAUCCCAACAUCUUGGGAGGCCAAGGCAAGAGGAUUGCUUGAACCCAGGAGCUGGAGAUCAGCCUGGGCAACAUGACAGGAGCCCAUCUCUACGAAAUAAAAAAUUAAAAAAUUAGGGCCAGGCGCAGUGGCUGACACUUGUAAUCCCAGCACUUUGGGAAGCCGAGGCAGGUGGAUCACAAGGUCAGGAGUUCAAGACCAGCGUGGCCAAGAUGGUGAAACCCCCGCCUCUACUAAAAAUACAAAAAUUAGCCAGGCAUGGUGGCAAGCGCCUGUAAUCCCAGCUACUCGGGUGGCUGAGGCAGGAGAAUUGCUUGAACCCGGGUGGCAGAGGUUGCAGUGAGCCGAGAUCAUGCCACUGCACUCCAGCCUGGGUGACAGAGCAAGACUCUGUCUCAAAAAUAAAUAAAUAAAUAGCCAGGUGUUGUGGCAAGCUCCUGUAGUCCCAGUUACUUGGGAGGCUGAGAUGGGAGGAUCACUUGAGCCUGGGGGUGUGGAGGUUGCAGUGAGCCAUGAUAGCACCACUGUGCUCUAGCCUGGGAGACACAGUGAGACCCUGUCUCAAAAAAAAAAAAUCUAUCUUUUGUUACAAGGACUCUAGCUGAGAAUUUAGAAGGGUAGCAAGAAAAUUCAUCUUUCCUCCCCUAAAUAUGCUACUGAUAGAGGCGGGAGACAGCCAAAUGCCAUCCAGGUCAUUAUGCACAGGGGGCUUGCCUAAACAUGCCUACAGUGAAAAAUUCUAUCCCUUAACACAUGUGCAGUAAGGGAAAUAAAUCAGUGUGGAGUGGCUCAGAUUAGAGGCCUACAUGUGCACUGGGGAAAUGGGGUGGAGCCACCAGGAAUUCAUGCUUUAUGCAGGGGAGCCGGGCUUCUUCAGCUCCAGUAUGGUGGCCUGAUAUUCAGUCUGUGGAGUAGGAGCCUGUUGGCAGGACCACCUCUUUGCUAAGGGCUUUCUUUUCACUUAAUACAUUCUGACCCUUCAAUGUGUCCAUGUGCCUAAUUUUUCCUGAUCGGGAGACAAGAGCCCAGAUUUUAGCUGAACUAAGAAGAAAAAUAUCGUGCGUCACUAGUUGGCCUGGAAGAACAAUGGAAUUACUCAUUUGAGAUGUGGGUUUGAAGAAAGUUAUUUUUAGUAUUCUGAUAAGCAGUUAAAAUACUGCUGUCAUGUUUCUCUCUUUGUGCCAGUCUCAUGCAGUUUCCCAGCAAAAUCACAAUUAAACUGAUAAUGUGAUUUUUAUGUUUUGGCAUCCUUUCAGAUUUUGUUUUUUUUGUUUUGUUUUUGAGACGGGGUCUGGGUGUGUCACCCAAGCUGGAAUGCAUUGGCAUAAUCACAGCUCAUUGCAGCCUCAACCUCUGGGGCUCAAGUGAUCUUCCCACCACCUCAGCCUCCUGAGUAGCUGGGACUAUCAGCGGACGCCACCAUGACUGGCUAAUUUUUAAACUUUUUGUAGAGACGGGUUUUGUGAUGUUGCUCAAGCUGGUCUUGAACUCCUGGGCUAAAGCAAUCCUCCUGUCUGAGCCUCCUGAAGUGCUGGGAUUACAGGCCACGAUGUCUGGCCUCUAAUUACUUUGAUAAUAAGUAAGCAUCUCCCCUUCUCUUUUUUUUCUGAGACAGAGUCUCACUCUAUUGCCCAGGCUGGAGUGCAAUGGCACAAACUUGGCUUUGCCUCCUGGGUUCAAGCAACCUCUGCCUCCCAGGUUCAAGCAAUUCUCCUGCCUCAGCCUCCCAAGUAGCUGGGAUCACAGGCGUGUGCUACCAUGCCCGGCUAAUUUUUUGUAUUUUUAGUAGAGAUGGCGUUUCACCAUGUUGGCCAGCCUGCUCUUGAACUCCUAACCUGCCUUCCAAAGUAUUGGGAUUACAGGUGUGAGCCACCACGCCUGGCUCUUUGUUGUUUGUUUUUGAGCUGGAGUCUCGCUGUGUCACCCAGGCUGGAGUACAGUGGCGCCAUCUCGGCUUACUGCAACCUCCACCUCCUGAGUUCAAGCGAUUCCCCUGCCUCAGCCUCCUGAGUAGCUGGGACCGCAGGCAUGCACUACCACACCCAGCUAAUUUUUGUAUUUUUAGUAGAGACGGGGUUUCACCAUGUUGGCCACGCUGGUCUUGGAACUCCUGACCUCAGGUGAUCCGCUCACCUCAGCCUCCCAAAGUGCUGGGAAUACAGGUGUGAGCCACCGCGCCUGGCCGCAUCCCCCACUUCUCUAGUGAAUUUUUUGGGGUUAUCACUGUGUUAAAAAGCUCUUCUCUUUGAGUCCCUUGGGAGAUCCCACUUUCUUCAGUAACACACCUUCUCUGGCCCUUCGUAGCUAUUUACUUUCCCAGUACUCUUUCAUCAUCUUGAAACCACCAUUGCAAAAUUAUAACUGAGACAGUGACAGAGAUCUGACCGAACCAACUCCAUCUUGCUUCUAACUUCCAAGCUGUCCUUGUUCAUUCCUGAGUGUAGGCUGAACUAACUUUGGGAGGAACUUAGUUUAUAGUUUAAAAGAAAGACAAUAAUAGCCCUUUCCCAAAACAAACCCCCAUCUUGCCUGGGGACCAGAAUGCCUUUGUAGGAGUAACAAAUUAGCCAAAAGAUUAGAAAUUAUGAUUUAGGAGUCAUGCAGCUAGAGGCUACAGGAUUCUGACCCUCCCCAAAUUGCUCCCGGGAAUAACAUCACUGAAGUCUAAGAUCAGUGCUUGAGAUAUUUUGCAGACCUCGCACUGGAUGGAUCAGCUGGCACCACCCAGAUCGAUAAACUGGCUCAUCAGAUCUUGUGGCCCCCACCCAGGAACUGACUCAAGCACAAGACAGCUUCAAUUCCCUAUGAUUUCAUCUCUGACCCGAUCAAUCAGCACUCCUGACUCACUGGAUGCCACCCACCCUCCAAAUUAUCCUUAAAAACUGUGACCUCCAAAUGCUUGGGGAGACUCAUUUGAGUAAUAAAAAAAGUCCCAGUUUCCCACACAGCUGGCUCUGCAUGAAUUAUUCUUUCUCUAUUGCAAUUCACCUGUCUUGAUAAAUUGGUUCUGCCUAGGCAGCAGGCAAGGUGAACCUGUUGGGCCAUUACAAUCUCAUAGCAGUGGCAGAAUGGACAGACCAGUGAACCCUGUGCUAGGACAACCUGCACCAGGCCCUGGCUGUUGUAGGAGGUCCUUUUUUUUUUUUUUUUUUUUGAGAUGGAGUUUCACUCUUGUUGUCCAGGCUAGAGUGCAAUGGCGCGAUCUCGGCUCACCGCAACCUCCGCCCCCUGGGUUCAAGCAAUUCUCCUGCCUCAGCCUCCCAAGUAGCUGGGAUUACAGGCAGGCACCACCACGCCCGGCUCAUUUUGUAUUUUUAGUAGAGACCGGGUUUCUCCAUGUCAGUCAGGCUAGCCCCAAAUUCCUGACCUCAGGUGAUCCACCCGCCUCCCCGCCUCGGCCUCCCAAAGUGCUGGGAUGACAGGCAUAAGCCACCGCGCCCAGCCUGUUGUAGGAGGUCUUGAACAAACCACUUAACUUGUUUGGGUGGGGCUUAGUUUCCACGUUAGUAAUCUGGAAGUAACAGUUCUGCCUUAUCUGUCUGUUAGGGUUUUGACACUUAGUGAAGUAUGGGAUUUGUAUACUGUAAAGUGAUUGAAUGUAUUUACUAGGUGCAAUACAUAAAAUACGAGUUUCAAGCACUGCUCUGCUUUUACUUAUAGAACCACGUUCUCACUUUUCUAGCCUGAUCAUUCAAGACCCUUGAACACAUCGUCCUUAUCUCCCGCUCCUCAUUGAGACCCUUCCAGAACACUACAAACUUGCAGGCUCCUGUUCAUUCCCAAGGCUCCGUGUCCACAUCGUGCUUGGAUUCCGCCCGGCCCCGCCUGUGCGGCCGCACCAGGAAGGCACCACCCAUUAGGGGCUCAGCGCGUCCCUCCAGGCCACGCCGUCAGGCCUCCGUCCUUUUAGCUGUAGGGGCAGAUUACGUAACUCCAGCCUUCUGGUCACUAAAGGAGGGUAACAAAGGGCGGUCGAGAGACUCCACUGAGUUGACACGCAGACGCAGCCUCAGGACCCUAAACUCUACGCCCCAGCACACCCUACCAAGCGAGCGCCCGCGGCCGCGUGACGUCAUCUACCCCAAACGCUGUGGCCCCGGCCACGCACGGCUUCGGGGCGGGACUACGCGGUGACGUCGAGGUGCGCGGCGCAGCGCGCGGCGUCAGUCUUGGCUGGCAGACCUGUACUCCGUACUCCGUACUUCGUAGUCGCAGCGGCGCGGUCUUCGGCAGUCUAGUCAUCCACCGCCAUCCUGGGCCCCACGUGUUGCCUGACCAUUCCUGAGCCCAGGUGGGAGCCGUGGCUGAGGUGACGGUCUCAAAGUGGAAGAGCUUACUGUCACAGCAACUCCUUUGCAAGAUGCCCCGGUAAAUCACGUUGCAGAGACCCCAACUCUGCCUUCCUGGAACUAGGCCUGCGUUUUCUCUGAACCAUUAUUUCAUGGGGAAAAUGAAAUCUACUUCAUGUGCCUGGUCUACUUACUCCUUCAGAAGUGAUUUCUGAGCCGCCAGGAAUAGUUGCUGAACACCCCAGGCCUGCUGAGGUCCCUCCUUGAGUCUCAUGUUCAAGCAGUCUUUGUCCAUGAAACUGGGAGGCGACCGUGUUAGCUGCCAGUUCCUGACAGCCACCUCUCACCAGUGGCUUCACUCUGUGUCCCUGACCCAGCACAUGGCACAAGAGUGCCUGCCAUCCGUCAGUGUUUCUACAGCAGCAAUCCCAAGAUGCUGGAGCUAGAGGGGACCUGACCUGAGAGAAGAUACCUUCAGUGGCUGCCAGGCUGUUCCUUGGAACCUGUGCAGGGAUGAGGCCUGCCUGUGUUAAUACACCUAGUGAGGAGUGGAGCUGAAUUUGAAUGCAAGCCUUGGCACCUUAAUUGAGCAAGUUUGAAACCUCGCUUGUUGCCCUUCUGGAAGGAGUCAGGAAUUUCCAGUUCUGGGCCUGGGCUGUGGGUCUGGCAGACAGACCUCUGGCCCUAGGUUUGGGUGCCAGGUUCUCUGCUUCCAGAAUGAGAAGCUUUGCUGUGCACCAGGACCUGGGCCCUUCUGGUAUCUCCUGAAUGAAAAACAAGGGAUAUUUAAUAAAUAUGGAUUUAAAUAUGUGA